GACGAACGCUGGCGGCGUGCUUAACACAUGCAAGUCGAACGGAAAGGCCUCUUUCGGGGGGUACUCGAGUGGCGAACGGGUGAGUAACACGUGAGUAACCUGCCCUUGACUUUGGGAUAACUUCAGGAAACUGGGGCUAAUACCGGAUAGGAGCUCCUGCUGCAUGGUGGGGGUUGGAAAGUUUCGGCGGUUGGGGAUGGACUCGCGGCUUAUCAGCUUGUUGGUGGGGGAGUGGCUUACCAAGGCUUUGACGGGUAGCCGGCCUGAGAGGGUGACCGGCCACAGUGGGACUGGGAUACGGCCCAGACUCCGACUGGAGGCAGCAGUGGGGAAUAGUGCACAAUGGGUGGAGGCCUGAUGCAGAAACGCCGUGGGCGGGAGGACGGCCAUCGGGUUGUAAACCGCUUGCGCUCAUGACGAAGCUGUGUGUGACGGUAGUGGGUAAAGAAGCACCGGCUAACUACGUG
rnacentral:rRNA from 1 species